rnacentral:rRNA from 1 species
AAUGAACGCUGGCGGCGUGCUUAACACAUGCAAGUCGAACGAGGCGGAGGGGGGCAACUCCUUCCAGCCGAGUGGCGGACGGGUGAGUAACACGUGGGUAACCUGCCCGGAAGUGGGGGAAUACCUCGGGGAAACUCGAGCUAAUACCGCAUGACAUCUUCGGGACGAAAGUCCUGACGAUCAAAGCGGGGGUCGCAAGAUCUCGCGCUACCGGAUGGGCCCGCGCCCGAUUAGCUAGUUGGGAGGUAACGGCUCACCAAGGCUUCGAUCGGUAACCGGCCUGAGAGGGGCGAUCGGUCACACCGGAACUGAGACACGGUCCGGACUCCUACGGGAGGCAGCAGUGGGGAAUCUUGCGCAAUGGGCGAAAGCCUGACGCAGCGACGCCGCGU